rnacentral:rRNA from 1 species
GAAGGUGGCCUGUGAGGGUUGCUGGAGGUAUCAGAAGUGCGAAUGCUGACAUAAGUAACGAUAAAGCGGGUGAAAAGCCCGCUCGCCGGAAGACCAAGGGUUCCUGUCCAACGUUAAUCGGGGCAGGGUGAGUCGACCCCUAAGGCGAGGCCGAAAGGCGUAGUCGAUGGGAAACGGGUUAAUAUUCCCGUACUUGGUGUUACUGCGAAGGGGGGACGGAGAAGGCUAUGUUGGCCGGGCGACGGUUGUCCCGGUUUAAGCGUGUAGGUGUGUGUUCCAGGUAAAUCCGGUUCACUUUAACACUGAGGCGUGACGACGAGGCACUACGGUGCUGAAGCAACAAAUGCCCUGCUUCCAGGAAAAGCCUCUAAGCAUCAGGUAACAUCAAAUCGUACCCCAAACCGACACAGGUGGUCAGGUAGAGAAUACCAAGGCGCUUGAGAGAACUCGGGUGAAGGAACUAGGCAAAAUGGUGCCGUAACUUCGGGAGAAGGCACGCUGACACGUAGGUGAAGUGAUUUACUCAUGGAGCUGAAGUCAGUCGAAGAUACCAGCUGGCUGCAACUGUUUAUUAAAAACACAGCACUGUGCAAACACGAAAGUGGACGUAUACGGUGUGACGCCUGCCCGGUGCCGGAAGGUUAAUUGAUGGGGUCAGCGCAAGCGAAGCUCCUGAUCGAAGCCCCGGUAAACGGCGGCCGUAACUAUAACGGUCCUAAGGUAGCGAAAUUCCUUGUCGGGUAAGUUCCGACCUGCACGAAUGGCGUAAUGAUGGCCAGGCUGUCUCCACCCGAGACUCAGUGAAAUUGAACUCGCUGUGAAGAUGCAGUGUACCCGCGGCAAGACGGAAAGACCCCGUGAACCUUUACUAUAGCUUGACACUGAACAUUGAGCCUUGAUGUGUAGGAUAGGUGGGAGGCUUUGAAGCGUGGACGCCAGUCUGCGUGGAGCCGACCUUGAAAUACCACCCUUUAAUGUUUGAUGUUCUAACGUGGACCCGUUACCCGGGUUGCGGACAGUGUCUGGUGGGUAGUUUGACUGGGGCGGUCUCCUCCUAAAGAGUAACGGAGGAGCACGAAGGUUGGCUAAUCCUGGUCGGACAUCAGGAGGUUAGUGCAAUGGCAUAAGCCAGCUUGACUGCGAGCGUGACGGCGCGAGCAGGUGCGAAAGCAGGUCAUAGUGAUCCGGUGGUUCUGAAUGGAAGGGCCAUCGCUCAACGGAUAAAAGGUACUCCGGGGAUAACAGGCUGAUACCGCCCAAGAGUUCAUAUCGACGGCGGUGUUUGGCACCUCGAUGUCGGCUCAUCACAUCCUGGGGCUGAAGUAGGUCCCAAGGGUAUGGCUGUUCGCCAUUUAAAGUGGUACGCGAGCUGGGUUUAGAACGUCGUGAGACAGUUCGGUCCCUAUCUGCCGUGGGCGCUGGAGAACUGAGGGGGGCUGCUCCUAGUACGAGAGGACCGGAGUGGACGCAUCACUGGUGUUCGGGUUGUCAUGCCAAUGGCACUGCCCGGUAGCUAAAUGCGGAAGAGAUAAGUGCUGAAAGCAUCUAAGCACGAAACUUGCCCCGAGAUGAGUUCUCCCUGAGACUUAGAGUCUCCUGAAGGAACGUUGAAGACGACGACGUUGAUAGGCCGGGUGUGUAAGCGCAGCGAUGCGUUGAGCUAACCGGUACUAAUGAACCGUGAGGCUUAACCUU